CAAAAUUCAGAUGUGUAAGUAACUUCAGCUGAUCUUCCACCAGUUCUAAAUAUUAGACAGCUUCCGAGCUCUCUUACAUUUAGACCUUUUUCUACGCCUGAAACAGGCAUAGAAAAUGGUGAAAGAGACCGGC